AUUGAACGCUGGCGGCAUGCCUUACACAUGCAAGUCGAACGGCAGCACGGGUGCUUGCACCUGGUGGCGAGUGGCGAACGGGUGAGUAAUACAUCGGAACAUGUCCUGUAGUGGGGGAUAGCCCGGCGAAAGCCGGAUUAAUACCGCAUACGAUCUACGGAUGAAAGCGGGGGACCUUCGGGCCUCGCGCUAUAGGGUUGGCCGAUGGCUGAUUAGCUAGUUGGUGGGGUAAAGGCCUACCAAGGCGACGAUCAGUAGCUGGUCUGAGAGGACGACCAGCCACACUGGGACUGAGACACGGCCCAGACUCCUACGGGAGGCAGCAGUGGGGAAUUUUGGACAAUGGGCGAAAGCCUGAUCCAGCAAUGCCGCGUGCGUGAAGAAGGCCUUCGGGUUGUAAAGCACUUUUGUCCGGAAAGAAAUCCUUGGCCCUAAUACGGUCGGGGGACGACGGUACCGGAAGAAUAAGCACCGGCUAACUACGUG
rnacentral:rRNA from 1 species